UGGGGAAUAUUGCACAAUGGGCGCAAGCCUGAUGCAGCCAUGCCGCGUGUAUGAAGAAGGCCCUCGGGUUGUAAAGUACUUUCAGCGGGGAGGAAGGGAGUAAAGUUAAUACCUUUGCUCAUUGACGUUACCCGCAGAAGAAGCACCGGCUAACUCCGUGCCAGCAGCCGCGGUAAUACGGAGGGUGCAAGCGUUAAUCGGAAUUACUUGGCGUAAAGCGCACGCAGGCGGUUUGUUAAGUCAGAUGUGAAAUCCCCGGGCUCAACCUGGGAACUGCAUCUGAUACUGGCAAGCUUGAGUCUCGUAGAGGGGGGUAGAAUUCCAGGUGUAGCGGUGAAAUGCGUAGAGAUCUGGAGGAAUACCGGUGGCGAAGGCGGCCCCCUGGACAAAGACUGACACUCAGGUGCGAAAGCGUGGGGAGCAUACAGG
rnacentral:rRNA from 1 species